AUAUUUUCCAGUCUUUUGGCUAAGAUCAAGUGUAGUAUCUACUUCUAUAAGUUUAAUAUCAUAUAUGUCCUUUCUCUGUGGACAAUAUGUUACAUUGAUUCUAGGAGCAAAACAUUGGAUAGGGACUUUCUUUGCCCAUGGUAUUGGACCUUGUAUUGCAGUACUUUUGGAAAUGAUAGACUUCC